GAGAGAAGUGGAGGCUGAGGAGGUAGCCUGCAACAGAACUGGGGUAUUGGGCUUGGAGACCUUGGAGCAAGAGGUGGAGAUCUGCAGUUACCCUACCUGCUUCUCUCUGUAUUUGCUUUUUAACCAAAGCUGUUAAUUGAAGCAGAAAGUCCUGUAGGAAGAGAGACUGAAUCUGCUCAGAAACAGUUGUAUGGCAAGGGUAAUGGCACCUGUGGGCUCUUGGUUUUAUUUGUGAAUGUUAAAUGUAUUUGUGAUUGGAAAUGGUGUUGGGAGUACAAGCCUGCAACUUUCCCAAUAAUAAUGUCAUUGGCACAUCAGGGCACACGGUGCAGGGGCAGGUUUCGAAGCUGAAUAUGAAGGAGAGCUCAGUGAUCUACAGCGACUGGUUUGGUCUGUGAACAUCUGUGAUUCCUCCUGGUGGCAAGGUCACAGGUGCUGCGAUACACCGUGGUUUGUUGUCUGCAUUCCUGGUGGAAGGAGUUACUAAGUUUCAAUUAGAGGUUAGUGAGAGUGUGGCUUUUUCUCCCUGGAGUUCAGAGUUCUGUGGGGCUGAAAGUGACACCUGUGUCAGCCAAGGCCAGGGCUUCUUAAAGUUUUCUAUUUUCAGCCUUUUAGCCCUUGGGAAAUUUUUGUGUGACCUUGGUAUGUAAAACAGUACAAAUCAAACAUGAACUGAUAAUAAAUCAUGUGGAAACUUAUUUUAAAGCAAUUCUUUGCUAUGUAGAUAUAAUUUUACCGUUUAUAAAAGAUGAAAGGAAAUCUGUACACUGAGGAGAUGACAUGCUUGCUUAUUUUUUGGUGCAGAAGGAAGCUUGGCUGAAUGUUACUAUAGCGUGCUGAGUGCCUUCUACAUUUUCACCCAUUUUGACUUUAUAAUUGUCAAUGCUAAGGAAGCCACUUCAAAUAAAUACAAAAUGGCAAAAAGCCUUCGACUGGAAAGAUGGCUCAGAGGUUAAGAACACUGUUAUUCCAGAGGACUGGCGUUCAAGUCCCAGCACCUACCUGGCAGCUCACAACUGUCUGUAACUCCAGUCCCAGCAGGUCUGGCAUCCUUACACACGCGCGCACACACACACACACACACACACACACACACACACACACACACAGAGAGAGAGAGAGAGAGAGAGAGAGAGAGAGAGAGAGAGAGAGAGAGAACUAUACCAAUGCACGUAGAGCAAAGAACCUGGGCUGGAGAGAUGGCUCAGCAGUUAAGAGCACUGACUGCUCUUCCAGAGGUCCUGAGUUCAAUUCCCAGCAACCACAUGGUGGCUCACAACCAUCUCUAAUGGGAUCUGAUGCCUUCUUCUAGUGUGUUUGAAAGACAGGGACAGUGUACUCAUGUAUAAAAUAAAUAAAUCUUAACAACAGCAACAAAAACAAAG
rnacentral:lncRNA from 1 species